UACAGAGGUUGCAAGCGUUAAUCGGAUUUACUGGGCGUAAAGGGUGUGUAGGUGGUUUGGCAAGUCGGUUGUGAAAUCCCCGGGCUCAACCUGGGAAUUGCUUCCGAUACUGCUUGACUAGAGUACGGUAGAGGGCGGUGGAAUUUCCGGUGUAGCGGUGAAAUGCGUAGAUAUCGGAAGGAACACCAAUGGCGAAGGCAGCCGCCUGGGCCUGUACUGACACUGAGACACGAAAGCGUGGGGAUCAAACAGG
rnacentral:rRNA from 1 species